UAAAAACCCGCUUGGGAGUUAGCCCGGUGAAACCUGGUCGACCCGGCGGGUCGACCCGUGACCCGGUCCACCCGGUCAAACCCGGGUGAGACCCGGUCUAUUUUUUUUUAAUAUUAACAGCCAUUAAACAACGUCGUUAUAAGAGUCUGUCUCAGCUGACCAAUAAUCACGUCUCCCUUUUCCUUUUUAACUUCCCACACUACCUAUUUAUAAGACCCUAUCAUCUCUUUCCCCUUUCUCUCUUUCUUGAUUUUCUUUUUAAUUUUAUGUCCCAUUAUCAUCGGUUCUUCCGUGAUAUUUUUUAACAAUCGGAAGGUGCCUUGGUUUUAGGGUUUUCCUUAUCUGUCACCUCAUUAUUUUUUGAUUAAUUGUUUAGUCUUUUAAUUAUAAAGUGAGGAAUUAUGAGAAGUUUGAGUGAGUAAUCGGC
rnacentral:lncRNA from 1 species